rnacentral:lncRNA from 1 species
GACCUCAUCUCGGUUAAGCACCAAUGCAUUGCUGGAGUCCAUACCCAAUAACAACAACCCCAAUAACCCAGAAGAGGAUUGCUCGACCUAGUAAGUAACCACCACAAUAAACGAACUUGAGUUGCCUUUCCCCCCUACUCUACCUCCAUCUACUAGAUAGCUACUCGACCUUUCCAACUAUCUCAGAAUUAUGGUCGCUCACAUGGUGAAUUACCCUGUCGGCGUAUCAAUCAUGUCUAUUAUCGGCGCGAAAGCGCCCAACACCUUUAUAAAGGACUGCUCUUAGCAACAAAAGGAUCUGUCCAGACCUGUAGUCCAGGGUCAUGUGUACCACCUAGAUGAACCCGGUGCCCUGCCCACUCAUGUCCUUAUCCAGGGUAUUCUUUUUAUUCAUGAUACUUUUGUUAAGGCUUUGAUCGAUAUAGGUGCUACCAACUCUUUUAUCUCUUGUGCAAUUGCUUGUAAAUUAGGUGUUAGGCCUAAACCUUUAAAAGAAAUA